AUUAAAGGGUUUACAUUUUUUAUAGUUUUAUUCCACUUUUACAUUCAAACAAGACAUGUUUACGGGAAGUAGAUAUACCAUGAACUAAGCAAGCUUCUGUAGAAAUAAAGUCAUAAGUAUAGACUAUAGAACUGAAGUCAUGGCUACCAUAAGAUUAUGCAUAUGUGACAAGACUAUGGUUAAUUCACAUCUGAUAAAAACAUCAUUUUUCGCAGAUGGCAGAAAU
rnacentral:misc_RNA from 1 species